rnacentral:rRNA from 1 species
UGUUCGCCAUUUAAAGUGGUACGCGAGCUGGGUUUAGAACGUCGUGAGACAGUUCGGUCCCUAUCUGCCGUGGGCGCUGGAGAACUGAGGGGGGCUGCUCCUAGUACGAGAGGACCGGAGUGGACGCAUCACUGGUGUUCGGGUUGUCAUGCCAAUGGCACUGCCCGGUAGCUAAAUGCGGAAGAGAUAAGUGCUGAAAGCAUCUAAGCACGAAACUUGCCCCGAGAUGAGUUCUCCCUGACUCCUUGAGAGUCCUGAAGGAACGUUGAAGACGACGACGUUGAUAGGCCGGGUGUGUAAGCGCAGCGAUGCGUUGAGCUAACCGGUACUAAUGAACCGUGAGGCUUAACCUUACAAC